rnacentral:rRNA from 1 species
GACGAACGCUGGCGGCGUGCUUAACACAUGCAAGUCGAACGGAAAGGCCUGCUUUCCCUUGUGGAUUGCGGGUACUCGAGUGGCGAACGGGUGAGUAACACGUGAGUGAUCUGCCCCCAACUUGGGUAUAAGCCUGGGAAACUGGGUCUAAUUCCCGAUAGGACUGCAGGGUGGUGCCUGUGGUGGAAAACGAUUUUCUAGUGGUUGGGGAUGAGCUCGCGGCCUAUCAGCUUGUUGGUGGGGUAAUGGCCUACCAAGGCGGCGACGGGUAGCCGGCCUGAGAGGGUGGACGGCCACAUUGGGACUGAGAUACGGCCCAGACUCCUACGGGAGGCAGCAGUGGGGAAUAUUGCACAAUGGGCGGAAGCCUGAUGCAGCGACGCCGCGUGGGGGAUGACGGCCUUCGGGUUGCAAACUCCUUUCGACCGCGAGGAAGCCACCUGGUUGGAAGGGUGGUGACGGUAGUGGUAGAAGAAGCACCGGCUAACUACGUG